AACGAACGCUGGCGGCAUGCCUAACACAUGCAAGUCGAACGAGACCUUCGGGUCUAGUGGCGCACGGGUGCGUAACGCGUGGGAACCUGCCCUUAGGUUCGGAAUAACUCCCCGAAAGGGGUGCUAAUACCGGAUAAUGUCUUCGGACCAAAGAUUUAUCGCCUUUGGAUGGGCCCGCGUUGGAUUAGCUAGUUGGUAGGGUAAAAGCCUACCAAGGCGACGAUCCAUAGCUGGUCUGAGAGGAUGAUCAGCCACACUGGGACUGAGACACGGCCCAGACUCCUACGGGAGGCAGCAGUGGGGAAUAUUGGACAAUGGGCGAGAGCCUGAUCCAGCAAUGCCGCGUGAGUGAUGAAGGCCUUAGGGUUGUUAAGCUCUUUUACCCGGGAUGAUAAUGACAGUACCGGGAGAAUAAGCUCCGGCUAACUCCGUG
rnacentral:rRNA from 1 species